rnacentral:rRNA from 1 species
CCUACGGGUGGCAGCAGUGGGGGAUAUUGCACAAUGGGGGGAACCCUGAUGCAGCGACGCCGCGUGGGUGAAGAAGCGCCUCGGCGCGUAAAGCCCUGUCAGCAGGGAAGAAAAUGACGGUACCUGAAGAAGAAGCCCCGGCUAACUACGUGCCAGCAGCCGCGGUAAUACGUAGGGGGCAAGCGUUAUCCGGAUUUACUGGGUGUAAAGGGGGCGCAGACGGCGAUGCAAGCCAGGAGUGAAAGCCCGGGGCCCAACCCCGGGACUGCUCUUGGAACUAUCAAGCUAGAGUACAGGAGAGGAAAGCGGAAUUCCUAGUGUAGCGGUGAAAUGCGUAGAUAUUAGGAAGAACACCAGUGGCGAAGGCGGCUUUCUGGACUGAAACUGACGCUGAGGCACGAAAGCGUGGGGAGCGAACAGGAUUAGAUACCCCAGUAGUC